rnacentral:rRNA from 1 species
UACAGAGGAUGCAAGCGUUAUCCGGAAUGAUUGGGCGUAAAGCGUCUGUAGGUGGCUUUUAAGUCCGCCGUCAAAUCCCAGGGCUCAACUCUGGACAGGCGGUGGAAACUACCAAGCUGGAGUACGGUAGGAGCAGAGGGAAUUUCCGGUGGAGCGGUGAAAUGCGUAGAGAUCGGAAAGAACACCAACGGCGAAAGCAACUCUGCUGGGCCGACACUGACACUGAGAGACGAAAGCUAGGGGAGCGAAUGGG